rnacentral:tRNA from 1 species
GCCCCGGUGGCCCAAUGGUUAAGUACUUGGCUGCUAACCAAAAGGUUGUUGGUUCAAACCCAUCAGUGGCU